rnacentral:rRNA from 1 species
UACGUAGGGGGGCAAGCGUUGUCCGGAUUUAUUGGGCGUAAAGAGCGUGUAGGCGGUUUGGUAGGUCCGCUGUGAAAACUCGAGCUCAACCUCGAGACGCCGGUGGAAACCAUCAGACUAGAGUCCGGAAGAGGAGAGUGGAAUUCCUGGUGUAGCGGUGAAAUGCGCAGAUAUCAGGAAGAACACCCGUGGCUAAGGCGGCUCUCUAGUACGGUACUGACGCUGAGACGCGAAAAGCGUGGGGAGCGAACAGG